GCCGAGGCCGGAGGGCUCCGCGCAGGUCCCGGCUGCCCGAGCAGUUUGCCGCGGCCUCUCGGGGCUUGCUUCUUAUUUUGAACCUCUGAAGUCUGCCUCCAGCCAUUCUUGGCUGCUGUUUCCACAGCGCCAGCUUCAGGAUUGUGUUCAGUUCCCUUAGUGACCGAGCGUGUCCCCGGGUAACCGAAGGCCCAAGGCGCUCUAACCCCCGGGCUGGGGCUCUCGCACGACCGUUCUCUCCGCCCUGGGGGGGCGAGAUUGCAGACUAUGGCUGCGGGGGACCCAGCAGCCCCCACCCCCUGAAGGCUCAAAGCGGUUGGAACCGGGAGCCAGGACACGGCUGCGCUGGUAGCAAGCUGGGGUUUCCAAGGAGGGAAGUGGCAUAGGGGCGUCAUUCACGGCGAACCCCUCCUAAUACCUGUACCUCUCCUGCCCAGCCUCUGGCAAGUUCCAGUUUUCUCAUUUCUCUUUGAAUUUUACGAAUGACCUGCCACCACCCCGAAUGAGAACUCCCACUUGUGCUUUGCCCACAGGGAGCGCUUGGCACAGAGCCUGACACAAUUGUGUUUGCGGGUGCUGGAGCUGGGUUGGUUUUUCCUGGCUACCUUUGCUCCCCGGUUCAAAAGUGAGGAGCAUCCUUCUCCUGGAGGAUCCAGCUCAUCAAGUGUUUGUGGAGAUGUUAAGGCUGGGGCUGGGGCUCAGUGGCAGAGCACUUGCCUGGCAUGUGUGAGGCACUGGGUUCCAUCCUCAGCACCACAUAAAAAUAAACUACGGCAUUCUGUCCAUUUACAACUACAAAAAAAAAAUUAGAAAGAUUUUAAGGCUUGUCAGGCCCCCUGAUGGAAUGGUAAGCUGCUUCCCCACCCUCUGGUAGAAAGUGCUGAUGUGAUUCAAACUCAGUGUGAUGCACGGCCACCAGCUUGACACUCUUUAACUGUUUGAAUUAGUUCAUCAGUUCUCAACUUUUGGGGUCUCAAAUUUUACAGUAUUAAAAAAUUACAGGGAACUGGGGCUGGGUUUGUGGCUCAGCGGUAGAGCGCUCACCUUGCACGUGCCAGGCCCUAGGUUCAGUCCUCAGCACCACAGAAAAAGAAAUGAAGAUUCUUGUGUCCAACUGCAACUAAAAAGAAUCUUAAAAUUUACAGGAAACUUAUUUUGUUUACGUGGGCUCUGUCAGUAUCAUUUUAGAAUUAAAACGGAGAGGUUUAAAACACAAGAAUGCAGAAGCACCUAUUCAAGAGUCACCUGUGAUGACGUCAUCACAUGUCACGUCCUCUCUGGAAAACUCCAUCGUACAUUUAUGAGACAGCAGGGGAUGAGGAAAAAAAUGACCGGAUUGCGAAAACAGUUUGGCCUUUUGAACCCACUGAAAAGGUCUCGGGGAUCCCUGGAGCACACCGCGAUAACUGUUGAACUAGAAAACUUGUUACAACCUCUAAGGACACCUGCAGUCUCAGCUGUCACCCUCCUCUCCUCAUUGGGGGUGGGGGCCGCGCCCUAGGAGCAGCCGGGUCUGUGUGACUGGUUGUGGGGUGGCUGAGCUUUAUUACUGUUAUCGGUACUGAUUUAUCAGGCCUUGUAAGAAGGAAGUUCGUGAGUGCCAACGCACCUGCGUGGGCCCUGCAUUCCUGGAGGUGCUGUCACAUCCUCCCUCCCCUCCCCCCAGGUGUGGCAUCCCUCUUUGCCUGGACUUUCCUCUGCAGAAGGGAGGGCCAGGCCAGAGCUUCCUGGAUCUCCCAAGCAGAAUGUGCUUGAGGCCUGCGUCACUCACUCGUGUGCCUGGGUUGUGUAAGGAAGGAAUGUGGGAAAUGGCUUGACUUUGAUAAAGGUGUGGAGGAGGGCAGCCCUGGCGUUCCAGGAGCUGUUAACAGGCUGGAAGCUUGUUCACCAGGCUUGAAUUCCACCCUUUCUGGAGCAGUGUAAAGCCUGGAGGAACCGCACAGAGAGCAUUUCUAUCCCUGCUCCUUCCCUUUGAAGACUGACCCUAAUCUCAUUUCUCUCCACCGUCCCUCCCCACCCCCAAAUCCUUAAGCUAAAGCUGAUGGAGACCUACAUGUACAAUGAAAAGCUGGUUCCACGCCUGGGAGAAUUAGUGCUCAGUGGGCUACAGAGAUGAGUAUCCCAGGGCUGCAUAAAUUAUAGGUUCCCCAAAAUCAUUAGUGUAAAUGGGAGACGGGAGCACCACACCCGCAGCCUGUGGGCUCAGCCUGUGAGAGAAGUCGGGGCUGUUCCUCUGCUUCAUCCUCCUCCCCACCUUUCUGUCUUCUCUGCAAACUCCCUGUGAUGUUCCUUUGAAAUCUGACUUUGAGGCAGGCAGCGGAUGAGGUCAUCUCCACUCUCCCUUCCAGCCCGGAACAGUCUAUGGUCCCCCAGAGAUGAUGGGGAUUGAUCAUCAUUUCAGCGUUACCCGAGGUGAACGAGAGAAAGGGAUCUUUCCAUCGGGGUCGACUGGCUGCAUUCAUCGGCCAAAAAAGUCCAGUUUUCAAGAGGUUGUUGAUGAAGAUGACGAGCGUUGACAUUUUUAAGAGAUGUCCCAGGUGCCAGGAGCUGCUCGGUGCUUUUUUCAUGGAUCGACUUAUUUAAUUUUAAGCCGCACGGAGAAGCUCUGGAUCUGGAGAAGCUCUGGAUCUGGAGAAGCUCUGGAUCUGGAGAAGCUCUGGAUCUGGAGAAGCUCUGGAUCUAACGCUUGGAUUUCAUAUAUUUUUUAAGCUGACAGAUGUUCAUUUAAGUCCUCGCUCUGCUUCUUGCUGCCUGGGUGACCUUGACCCUGUUCCCUUAACCAACGAGAGCCUCAGAGCUCUCUGCCCCCCUGAUGAGAGAUGGAUGGUGUACAAAGCUCCGCACACCAUCAGGCGCAGUGCAGGCGCUUUUUGACAUUUCAACGCCUCUCUGAGCGGCUGGGAGGCAGCCUGCAGUGGUCCCGAAGAGCUUGGUGCAGGACGGAUACCAACGGUCAAGUUCUGCCUGUGCCACCCAGCUGUGUGACCUCGGUCAAGUUCUUAACUUCUCUGACCCUCCAUGUCCUCAUCUGGAAAAUGAGGGUAGUAAGAGAAUUAAUUGUCUUCACUCAGGUACCGAGCACUUAGGAUAGGGCUAUAAAUGUUCCCCAUGAUGGUCAUUAUUGCCAUCUAAUUAUUUUUAUUAUUAUUGCUAUCAUAGAAUUCAUUAGCGCAUCAAGUAUUUAAUAGGCUCCACAUGUGUACAUAACAUUGCACUUGGUACAGAGGUGAAGGAUGCCAACCAUGAGGGAUGCCCCUGUGAUUCCCGCCAUCCACCGUCACAGUCCACGUGGAGACUGGUUCAGCCAACCCCCCUGAACACCCACCAAGGCUCAGACAAGGAAACCAAACAGGAGUCAGACCGUUCCUGCCCCCAGGGAACUCACCGCCUGCCCAAGAAGCCUGACCCAGGGAGAGAGUGGCACAGCACCAAAGGGCGGGCACUUGAGUGACCACCCAGCGUCACAUCUGGCUGUACCAGCCACCAGCCACAGGCCCUUUGCACAUCUGAACCACUCUUUCCUCGGGGGUGAAAUAAAGGUGAUAUGAAUACUGUC